AUACGGGGGGUGCAAGCGUUAAGCGGAAUUACUGGGCGUAAAGCGCGCGUAGGCGGUUUGCUCAGUCGGAUGUGAAAGCCCAGGGCUCAACCUUGGAACUGCAUACGAUACUGGCAAACUAGAGUGUGAGAGAGGAUAGUGGAAUUUCCGGUGUAGCGGUGAAAUGCGUAGAUAUCGGAAGGAACAUCAGUGGCGAAGGCGACUGUCUGGCUCAACACUGACGCUGAGGUGCGAAAGCGUGGGUAGCAAACAGGAUUAGAUACCCCAGUAGUCC
rnacentral:rRNA from 1 species